GAUGAACGCUGGCGGCGUGCCUAAUACAUGCAAGUCGAGCGAACAGACGAGGAGCUUGCUCCUCUGACGUUAGCGGCGGACGGGUGAGUAACACGUGGAUAACCUACCUAUAAGACUGGGAUAACUUCGGGAAGCCGGAGCUAAUACCGGAUAAUAUAUUGAACCGCAUGGUUCAAUAGUGAAAGACGGUUUUGCUGUCACUUAUAGAUGGAUCCGCGCCGCAUUAGCUAGUUGGUAAGGUAACGGCUUACCAAGGCAACGAUGCGUAGCCGACCUGAGAGGGUGAUCGGCCACACUGGAACUGAGACACGGUCCAGACUCCUACGGGAGGCAGCAGUAGGGAAUCUUCCGCAAUGGGCGAAAGCCUGACGGAGCAACGCCGCGUGAGUGAUGAAGGUCUUCGGAUCGUAAAACACUGUUAUUAGGGAAGAACAAAUGUGUAAGUAACUAUGCACGUCUUGACGGUACCUAAUCAGAAAGCCACGGCUAACUACGUG
rnacentral:rRNA from 1 species